UUGACUCUAUAGGUGGCUAGCUUGCAAAUGUAAGAUGAAACAGAAAUGACAUUUAAAAAGCAAUUAGUUGAGCAAUUAGAAACACAAUUUAGAUCUUGCAUGACUACUUGCAAUGAUUGAUGUAACUCUGAAUCAAAAGUUUCCCUCUAUGUGUUCAUUGUAGCCUGUUGCUAGAAGCUUUCAGGCUGUGAAAUCUUUCACAUCUCCAGGCUUCAGUUGCACCGUGGGUGGCACAGAUGCGACUUGAGUGAAUUGGUCAUGGAAAUGAUGCAAUUUUGUGUAAGAAAGUCUUAAGAGAAAUAGCAGUGAAUUUGAACAUCUGCAGAAAAAAGUAUGUGAACCCUUAGGAUUGAUCAUUACAUUUUAUCUGACCUUCAGCAAGAAAAAACAUUGAUACUCUUUCGUGUUAACUUUUGAACACACCAUUAACAUUCACAGUGCACGUUGUAAAAAGUAUGCGAACCCUUGGAUUUUAUAACUGGUUGACCUCCUUCGGUAGCAGCAGUAAGAGGAUUGUGUAAGAAGAUCUUAAGAGGAAGAGCAGUGAGUUUGAACGUCUGCAGAAAAGUGCGUGGUGGGAAAAAGUAUGUGAACCCUUGACCUCCUUUGGUAGCAGCAUUAAGAAGGUUGUGUAAGAAGAUCUUAAGAGGAAGAGCAGUGAGUUUGAACAUCUGCAGAAAAAAUGCAUGAACAAAUGACAGCGUUUCAGACAGAAGUGUGGCAUGACAUCUGAGGAGCAGCGAGAACAUCAAGGGAAAUGAAAUUUUCAUGAAGUGGAUUACUUAGUAUACCAAUGUAUAAAUGUAUUUAAAUGAUCUCUAUGCGCAGCUCUCACUGUCAUUUUAAGAUAUAGCAGAACUAGUAUGCACUGCACAUGCAUUUCCCAUGGGAAAAAAUUACAUUUUAUAUUUACAUUUACAUUUGCAUGCACAUUUUAAAUACAAAUAUAUUUACUGUAUGUGUGUGUGUUUAGUUACUUACUAUAAGUUUAGUUACUGUAUUCUCAUAUAUAUUUUGUAUCUCUUAUGUAUGUAUCUUAUGUUCUUGCCUCUUAAUGUACAUUUUGUAGUAUAUUUUGGCAUUUGAAAAUUUAAAGUGCCCCUGUAAUGCUAUUUUAAAGGUUCCUAAUUUUGUUUUGGAGGUCUCCAACAAUAGAUUUACAUGCAUACAAUGUCAAAAAAACACUUUAAUUUUCUCAUAAUAUACACAUCAGUCUGAAAACUGUUUGUUCGAAGAUUCAGUGUCUCUAAAUCCCUUCUUUCCGCGAGACUACUCUGCUCUGAUUGGUCAGACAGCCCAGUCUGUUGUGAUUGGUCUAUAAUCGGAAAUGAAAUGCCUACUACCAUAUCUGAAUUUCAGCUCCGGAGGCUUCCUUAGCCCUUAUACACAUAUAUCAUGCACUUUGAUCUUUAACACUUUUUAACAGACUUUUUACAUUCACAAACAGCUAUAUUCACUGCAUGAGAGGUAAUAGCCGAAAAAGCAUAAUAGGGGCACUUUGAAAGAAAUACAGUAUAUAUUCAAAAUUCCUGCUGUGCUUUUAACAACAUAUUUAGUAUAUAUUUGAAAUGUAUUUUCCUAGUAUAUUUUCCAGUGUAUUUUUAUGUAUUUUCUUCCAAGGGAUUGAAUAGAAUGUUUGUUGUUGUUACA